AUUGAACGCUGGCGGCAGGCUUAACACAUGCAAGUCGAACGGCAGCGGAGGCUUGGGCGUGGCGGUGAGGAGGGAAGGGGGGAGGAAGGGAACGGAACGUGCACAGGAGUGGGGGAGAGGGCGGACAAAUCGGGAUGAAUACCGAAAACGAACUACGGGGGAAAGCGGGAGAGGGAGAGGCCCGGGGCUCUUGGAAUGGGCGAUGUCGGAUUAGCUAGUUGGUGGGGUAAAGGCUUACCAAGGCGACGAUCCGUAGCUGGUCUGAGAGGACGACCAGCCACACUGGGACUGAGACACGGCCCAGACUCCUACGGGAGGCAGCAGUGGGGAAUAUUGGACAAUGGGGGCAACCCUGAUCCAGCCAUGCCGCGUGCGGGAAGAAGGCCUUCGGGUUGUAAACUGCUUUUGUUCGGGAAGAAAUCCUCUGGGCUAAUACCCCGGGUGGAUGACGUUACCGGAAGAAUAAGCACCGGCUAACUACGUG
rnacentral:rRNA from 1 species